CCGAGUUCAUGCCCUCACGGGUAGAUCUCCCACCCUAUGUUAUUAUUACCUCUGUUGCUUUGGCGGGCCGUCAGGCUUCGGUCAGGCUACCGGCUCCAGCUGACUGCGCCCGCCAGAGGACCCAAACUCGUUUGUUUAGUGAUGUCUGAGUACUAUAUAAUAGUUA
rnacentral:misc_RNA from 1 species